CGUGAGGUGGAGCAAAUCCCAAAAAGCCGAUCACAGUUCGGAUUGUAGGCUGAAACUCGCCUACAUGAAGUCGGAAUCGCUAGUAAUCGCAGGUCAGCAUACUGCGGUGAAUACGUUCCCGGGCCUUGUACACACCGCCCGUCACACCACGAAAGCUGGCAACACCCGAAGCCGGUGAGCUAACUCGUUCGGAGGUCAGAGGUCAGAAGUCAGAAGUCUAAACAGAAGUCAGAGGACAGAAGUCCGAGGUCAGAAAUAGCCGAUUGCAACAAGGACUGACAGCAGACAAUGGAUACUUGACAACUGAACAGACAACCGACAUCCGAUUUCCGACUUCCGAAUGAGGGGCAGCCGUCUAAGGUGGGGCUAGUGAUUGGGGUGAAGUCGUAACAAGGUAACC
rnacentral:rRNA from 1 species